GCCGUCUGCACAGCUGCUGUGGCCUCUCCCUUUUCUCCCCUCAGGCGUGGACACUGACGAGCUGGACAGCAACGUGGACGACUGGGAGGAGGAGACCAUCGAGUUCUUCGUCACUGAAGAAACUAUUGCUCUUGGGAGCCAGGAGUGACCCGAGAACACUGUGCGUCACCUGUGCUGGAACCGAGGUCGCCCUCUUGCAAACAGCCCGCACAAGUCCUGAAUUCUGCCUGUGCUUUCCCGCUCUGGACUGACUGCCCCUGGGAUUCCGGCUCCACACAUAGUUGUGCCUUUCAACCCCCGGUGUCUUCAGUGGGGAGGUUUCAAGGCACUGCUUUAAUCUUUCUCGUUUGGGUUUUAAUCUCCACCCGUGUUUGUUACUCAGACGGAUGCAGCGCUGCGGCAGGCCCCUUUCCUCCUGCUGUCGCACUGCCGCGUGCGGCGUCCCCUCAAGGACUCACUGUCCAUGUGCGUGGCCAGUGUCGGCCACGUCCCAGCGUGUUCGGGGGCGCCGCAGCGCGUGGUUCUCUAAACGGGCUGAACGUGGAAAUAAAAGCAAACGUGUGAAAAAGC